rnacentral:snRNA from 1 species
AGGUCUUGAAUAGUUGCACUAAAACGUACAGCUUUUUCGCCUUUUACUAAAAAGCUCCGUGCAACUACUCCUAUAAGGACAUUGUACUAUUUUUGGAAGCUUCUCUUUGGAGAAGCA